UACGUAGGGUGCGAGCGUUAAUCGGAAUUACUGGGCGUAAAGCGUGCGCAGGCGGUUUUGUAAGCCAGAUGUGAAAUCCCCGGGCUUAACCUGGGAACUGCAUUUGUGACUGCAUCGCUGGAGUGCGGCAGAGGGGGAUGGAAUUCCGCGUGUAGCAGUGAAAUGCGUAGAUAUGCGGAGGAACACCGAUGGCGAAGGCAAUCCCCUGGGCCUGCCACUGACGCUCAUGCACGAAA
rnacentral:rRNA from 1 species